rnacentral:rRNA from 1 species
UCGAGCGCCCGGGCAACCGGGAGCGGCGGACGGGUGAGUAACACGUGGGAACAUGCCCUUCGGUACGGAACAACUCAGGGAAACUUGAGCUAAUACCGUAUGCGCCGGCAACGGGAAAGAUUUAUCGCCGAAGGAUUGGCCCGCGUCCGAUUAGCUAGUUGGUGAGGUAACGGCCCACCAAGGCACCGAUCGGUAGCUGGUUUGAGAGAACGACCAGCCACACUGGGACUGAGACACGGCCCAG